AGUGAACGCUGGCGGUAGGCCUAACACAUGCAAGUCGAACGGCAGCACAGUAAGAGCUUGCUCUUACGGGUGGCGAGUGGCGGACGGGUGAGGAAUACAUCGGAAUCUACUUUUUCGUGGGGGAUAACGUAGGGAAACUUACGCUAAUACCGCAUACGACCUACGGGUGAAAGCAGGGGAUCUUCGGACCUUGCGCGAUUGAAUGAGCCGAUGUCGGAUUAGCUAGUUGGCGGGGUAAAGGCCCACCAAGGCGACGAUCCGUAGCCGGUCUGAGAGGAUGCUCAGCCACACUGGAACUGGGACACGGUCCAGACUCCUACGGGAGGCAGCAGUGGGGAAUAUUGGACAAUGGGCGCAAGCCUGAUCCAGCCAUACCGCGUGGGUGAAGAAGGCCUUCGGGUUGUAAAGCCCUUUUGUUGGGAAAGAAAAGCAGCAGGUUAAUACCCCGCUGUUCUGACGGUACCCAAAGAAUAAGCACCGGCUAACUUCGUG
rnacentral:rRNA from 1 species